UGCAGAUAAUGUAAAAAGGCUCAUUCCAGUCACAGAGAAGUAUGAGUGUUAUACUGCUUAAUAAUGAUACCAACAAAUAUUAAUUUUAUUGUUAUAGUUGCCCAUAUAUAUUAAAGUUUACUACGUGCCAGGCAUAGCACACUAGCUCAUAAAAUUGACAUAAGAACCCUAUAACUAUUAAAAUUAUCUCUGCUCCAGAGGCCAAGAAACUUGAAAAAGUGACAGAAGCAGGGUUUGCAUCAUCAAACACAGCUCAGCUCUCCUUGCAGGCAGGAGUGGCCAUGUGAUGGAUUCUGACCAACGAGAUGCAAGCCGAAGUUGCUAAUUGGGACUCCUAAAAUCACUUUUAAAAAGUGAUGGACUCAUGAUCUCUUCACCCUUCUUCUGCCUGUCUCGAAUUGUCCAUCGUCAGAUUUCUUUUUACACAAAAAAAUUAUUUUCAGCUAGGCCAUGUUAAUUUGAUUUUCUGCUACAUGCAGCUGACUGUACUGAUUAUCUAAAACUGCUUUAUAAAGUUUUGUGACUAGGGGGUGGGAGCAAUGAUCACUCAUAUUCGUUAAGUGAAAGGAUAAAUGAUUGAAUUGUGUAUCUUAAUUGUGGUAUAUUCUGUACAACAUUUUUACAAUAAAUUAUGCUGAAUGA